AGAGUUUGAUCCUGGCUCAGGACGAACGCUGGCGGCGCGCCUAACACAUGCAAGUCGAACGGAGCUUAGAGAGCUUGCUUUUUAAGCUUAGUGGCGAACGGGUGAGUAACGCGUGAGUAACCUGCCCUAGAGUGGGGGACAACAGUUGGAAACGACUGCUAAUACCGCAUAAGCCCACGGUACCGCAUGGCACUGAGGGAAAAGGAUUUAUUCGCUUUAGGAUGGACUCGCGUCCAAUUAGCUAGUUGGUGAGGUAACGGCCCACCAAGGCGACGAUUGGUAGCCGGACUGAGAGGUUGAACGGCCACAUUGGGACUGAGACACGGCCCAGACUCCUACGGGAGGCAGCAGUGGGGGAUAUUGCACAAUGGGGGAAACCCUGAUGCAGCGACGCCGCGUGGAGGAAGAAGGUCUUCGGAUUGUAAACUCCUGUUGUUGAGGAAGAUAAUGACGGUACUCAACAAGGAAGUGACGGCUAACUACGUGCCAGCAGCCGCGGUAAAACGUAGGUCACAAGCGUUGUCCGGAAUUACUGGGUGUAAAGGGAGCGCAGGCGGGAAGACAAGUUGGAAGUGAAAUCCAUGGGCUCAACCCAUGAACUGCUUUCAAAACUGUUUUUCUUGAGUAGUGCAGAGGUAGGCGGAAUUCCCGGUGUAGCGGUGGAAUGCGUAGAUAUCGGGAGGAACACCAGUGGCGAAGGCGGCCUACUGGGCACCAACUGACGCUGAGGCUCGAAAGUGUGGGUAGCAAACAGGAUUAGAUACCCUGGUAGUCCACACCGUAAACGAUGAUUACUAGGU
rnacentral:rRNA from 1 species